UACGUAGGGUGCAAGCGUUAAUCGGAAUUACUGGGCGUAAAGCGUGCGCAGGCGGUGAUGUAAGUCAGGUGUGAAAUCCCCGGGCUUAACCUGGGAACUGCAUUUGUGACUGCAUCGCUGGAGUGCGGCAGAGGGGGAUGGAAUUCCGCGUGUAGCAGUGAAAUGCGUAGAUAUGCGGAGGAACACCGAUGGCGAAGGCAAUCCCCUGGGCCUACACUGACGCUCAUGCACGAAAGCGUGGGGAGCAAACAGG
rnacentral:rRNA from 1 species